rnacentral:rRNA from 1 species
AUUGAACGCUGGCGGCAUGCUUUACACAUGCAAGUCGGACGGCAGCACCCAGCAGCUUUCUUCUUGUCUGGCGAGUGGCGAACGGGUGAGUCAUAUAUCGGCACGUACCGAGUAAUGGGUGAUAACUAAUCGCAAGAUUAGCUAAUACCUCAUAUUCUCUGAGGCGUAAAGCAGGUGACCUUCUGUCCUUGCGUUAUUCUAGCGGCCGAUAUCUGAUUAGCUAGUUGGUGGGGUAAAGUCCUACCAAGGCGAGGAGCGGUAUCGGGUCUGAGAAGAUGGUAGGCGACAUGGGGAGUGGACAAGGGCCAAGACUACUAAGGGAGGGAGCAGUGGGGAAUGGUGGACAAUGGGGGCAAGCCUGAUACAACGAGGCCGCGUGUCUGAAGAAGGCGUUCGGGUUGGAAAGAACGUUUGUCAGGGAAGAAAAGGUUGUGGCUAAUAUGAAUAGCGGAUGACGGUAACUGAAGAAGAAGCACCGGCUAACUACGUG